rnacentral:rRNA from 1 species
UACGUAGGGGGCAAGCGUUGUCCGGAUUUAUUGGGCGUAAAGAGCGUGUAGGCGGCUUUACAGGUCCGUUGUGAAAACUCGAGGCUCAACCUCGAGACGCCGGUGGAAACCGUAAGGCUAGAGUCCGGAAGAGGAGAGUGGAAUUCCUGGCGUAGCGGUGAAAUGCGCAGAUAUCAGGAAGAACACCCGUGGCGAAGGCGGCUCUCUGGGACGGUACUGACGCUGAGACGCGAAAGCGUGGGGAGCAAACAGG